ensembl:lncRNA
GAUUUUUCCGGGCAAAGCUAUCAUUUGACUUCAGAGCACCUAUAGGAAAAUACAGGGUUUUUCAUGUGGACCAGUUUUAUGAUCCUUCUCUUUAGUGCUUCUGCAUCGUCUUUGAAGUUUGGGAGCCUCAGUUCCAGUGGAGACUAAUUGCAUGGAGAAGAGCAGUAAAGUGCUUUGAAAAAAUUCAUACAGGUUUGGAGUGUUAUGCGGGCCUGCUGCAGUUCUCUCCCUUUUCACUCUCACUGAAGCCCCAGACAGAAGCUCCCUGGAGACCUUCCCUUCUUGUUUAAACCUGACACAAAUUCCACGUCACAGUACCCAGAGUGACGACGCUUGCAGGCACAAAAGCAAAUAUUUCCUUUCCUGGUUGUACCCAACCACCUCUACACGUCCCCACCGACACCUGACCCCUCCCUUUCCUCACCAGUUCCAGCACUGCAGGCCGGCCAUUUGUCACAAAGCCCUGGCUCUCUCCGACAGCGUCUCUCAUGCCUCCUACAGACUUGCAUCGAAAAGCUCCUUGUAUUAGCAUUGUGAUGAGGAUAUACCGUCGGAUAGCUGCUGAAUUUGAUAAACUCUGAGUGUGGUGCAAUAUAAAGGAAUGAGGCUGUAACUUCCUGAGGGUGUGUAAUCCAACUGACCGUUUUGAUUAUUCCGAGAGAAAGUGCGGGGGUUGUGUUGAAUUACAUUGUGAAUGCAGAACACUCAAAGUUCACUUGAUUCUUACAUUUGCAUAAUUUCUAAUCUUUUUGGCUGUUCUAAGUUACCAUGCGGAUGUUAUAAUGACAUGCAACAAGACGUCCUGCAUUUUCUAUUUAUAAGGAAUGGCAGUCUUUGUUGGUGCAGUUGAAACAAAUGGAGAAAGUCAUGUAAUGUUUUGGGGGGCAAUGAGCUGAAUCAGCCUCUGUUAGACGGCCUGGCCGGAGGAUGGAUGGAAGAGGACUUCUGGAUGCUGGUGGGCUGGGUUCAACUCCGAACUGAGAGGAUUUGAAGCCGUGUUUUGUUCCAGUAAGGUCCGAUCCCAGUAGAAAGAAAGUCACAGAUUUGGGACAACAUGAGGCCACCAACGGAGGGCGAUGUUUCCCAUGAAAUGAAUCGUUCCUCUUCAUCUAUGAAGCUAAAUGGAAAGAAUGUCAACAAGGUUGUUUCCCCUGCUCAUAAACUGCUUCCAGAUUACCAUACUUUCACAAUAUGCACUCAAAUCGUUGAUGAAGUCCUUAUUUCUUGACGGAUGAUGACGUAUGCUCUGUAUUUAUUGAGGUGUGUAGCAUAAAUAGGUUCUCAUGUUGGCAUUUUCCUUUGACCUGUAUUUUUUGAGCCAUCACGUUAUUGUUUUUCUGCCUUAUUAAAAUGUUUACUGUGACAGCUAUAAUAAAAUAAUAAAAAUAAUAUAUAUAAUAAAAUUCAAGUUAAAAAAAAACUCAGCAUAUAUUAUCCAAACCAUUUUAUUACAUGAACUCAAUGAAUAUAUCACAAAAUACAAAAUAUAUUUCAUAUUUCAUAAUUCACCAGUCUUCUGUAUAGGCGGACACAAGCAGAACCUUUUCAAAGGAUAAA